UACAUGGGGUGCAAACGUUGCUCGGAAUUAUUGGGCGUAAAGCGCGCGUAGGCGGUUGCUUAAGUCGGAUGUGAAAGCCCUUGGCUUAACCGAGGAAGUGCACCCGAAACUGAGCAGCUUGAGUACGAAAGAGGGUCGCGGAAUUCCCGGUGUAGAGGUGAAAUUCGUAGAUAUCGGGAGGAACACCGGUGGCGAAGGAGGCGACCUGGGUCGAGACUGACGCUGAGGCGCGAAAGCGUGGGGAGCAAACAGG
rnacentral:rRNA from 1 species